GGUACUCUGGCCGAGUGGUCUAAGGCGCCAGAAUGAGGUUCUGGUCUCUACGGAGGCGCGGGUUCGAACCCCGCGAGUAUCA
rfam:Tetrapisispora blattae CBS 6284 chromosome 3, complete genome